AUAAAAAAUUAUGUUUUUUAAAAUUUAUUAUACAUUUAUUUUACAUAUAAAUUUUAGUAUAAAAUUUUAAUUAUUUUAAAAAUAAUUAAAUUAUUUUAAUAGUAAUUAAAAUUAAAAAUUUAAGAAAUUAAGAUUUAGUAAUAUGAAAAUUAAUAACUAAUUUUGUGCCAGCAGUUGCGGUUAAACAAAGAUUAAAUUAAAUUAUUUCAGUAUAUAAUUAAUAAAUAAUAAAUUAAAAUAAAUAUUAAAUUAUUAAGUGAAAUUUUAAUUUAAUUAAAUUUUCUAUAUAAAUUUAUGAUUUAUUAAAUUUUAAUAUAAACUAGGAUUAGAUACCCUAUUAUUAAAAAUUUAAUUUAUAAUACUAAAAUAGUAAAUAAUAAAUAUUGAAACUUAAAUAAAAAGGCGGUAUUUUAGUUCAUUUAGAGGAAUCUGUCUAAUAAUUGAUAAUCCACGAAUAAAUUUACUUAAUUUAAAAUUUUAUAUAUCGUUGUUAAAAAAAUAUUUUUAAAUAAAAAUAAUAUUUUAAAAUUAAAAUAAAAAAUUAAUUCAGAUCAAGAUGUAGAAUAUAAUUAAGAAUAUGAUGGAUUACAAUAAAUUUAUUUAAAUGAAUAAUAAGUUGAAAAAUAAAUUUGAAAGUGGAUUUAAAUGUAAUUUUAUUUAAUUUAAUAAAAUGAUUAAAAAUUAAAAUAUGUACAUAUUGCCCGUCACUUUCAUUUAAAAAUUGAAAUAAGUCGUAACAAAGUAGAGGUACUGGAAAGUGUUUCUAGAAUGAA
rnacentral:ncRNA from 1 species